UAAAUAAAUUAAAUUUACAAAUUUUUAAUUUUUAAUUUUUUUGAAAAAAUUAAAAAUUUAUUAAUUUGAAUAUUUUAAGGGAUAAGCUUUAAAAUAAAAUAUUAAAAUUAUUUUAAUAAUUAAUUUAAAAUGUAUGUGUAGAAUUAGCAAUCAUUUGUAAAUUUGUUAUAAAUUAUUAAUAUUAUUUAUUAUUUAUUUAUUUUUUAAUUAAUUUAUGAAAAUUUUUUUAUUAAUUUUAAAUAAAAAUUAAUAAUGAUUUAAUUAGUAUAUAAGUAUUGU
rnacentral:rRNA from 1 species